GCGUUAGUAGCUCAACUGGAUAGAGUACUUGGUUUCGGCCCAAGAGGUUAGGGGUUCAAGUCCUCUCUAGCGCGCCA
rnacentral:tRNA from 2 species